rnacentral:rRNA from 1 species
UACGGGGGGAGCAAGCGUUGUUCGGAUUUACUGGGCGUAAAGGGCGCGUAGGCGGCCACCGCAAGUCGGUUGUGAAAUCUCUGGGCUUAACCCAGAAAGGUCAAUCGAUACUGCGGGGCUAGAGUGCAGAAGGGGCAACUGGAAUUCUCGGUGUAGCGGUGAAAUGCGUAGAUAUCGAGAGGAACACCUGCGGCGAAGGCGGGUUGCUGGGCUGACACGUGACGCUGACAGCGCGAAAGCUAGGGGAGCGAACGGG